rnacentral:rRNA from 1 species
AACGAACGCUGGCGGCAUGCCUAACACAUGCAAGUCGAACGAAGGCUUCGGCCUUAGUGGCGCACGGGUGAGUAACGCGUGGGAAACUGCCUAUUGGUGGGGAAUAACGACGGGAAACUGUCGCUAAUACCGCAUGAGCCCUUCGGGGGAAAGAUUUAUCGCCGAUAGAUGUGCCCGCGUCCGAUUAGCUAGUUGGUGAGGUAAUGGCUCACCAAGGCGACGAUCGGUAGCUGGUCUGAGAGGAUGAUCAGCCACACUGGGACUGAGACACGGCCCAGACUCCUACGGGAGGCAGCAGUGGGGAAUAUUGGACAAUGGGCGAAAGCCUGAUCCAGCAAUGCCGCGUGAGUGAUGAAGGCCUUAGGGUUGUAAAGCUCUUUCGGGUGGGACGAUGAUGACGGUACCACCAGAAGAAGCCCCGGCUAACUUCGUGCCAGCAGCCGCAGUA